AGGGUUCGAUUCUGGCUCAGGAUGAACGCUGGCGGCGUGCUUAACACAUGCAAGUCGAACGGGAUCCCAGGAGCUUGCUCCUGGGUGAGAGUGGCGAACGGGUGAGUAAUGCGUGACCGACCUGCCCCAUACACCGGAAUAGCUCCUGGAAACGGGUGGUAAUGCCGGAUGCUCCAGUUGGAUGCAUGUCCUUCUGGGAAAGAUUCUAUCGGUAUGGGAUGGGGUCGCGUCCUAUCAGCUUGAUGGCGGGGUAACGGCCCACCAUGGCUUCGACGGGUAGCCGGCCUGAGAGGGCGACCGGCCACAUUGGGACUGAGAUACGGCCCAGACUCCUACGGGAGGCAGCAGUGGGGAAUAUUGCACAAUGGGCGCAAGCCUGAUGCAGCGACGCCGCGUGCGGGAUGACGGCCUUCGGGUUGUAAACCGCUUUUGAUUGGGAGCAAGCCCUUCGGGGUGAGUGUACCUUUCGAAUAAGCACCGGCUAACUACGUGCCAGCAGCCGCGGUAAUACGUAGGGUGCAAGCGUUAUCCGGAAUUAUUGGGCGUAAAGGGCUCGUAGGCGGUUCGUCGCGUCCGGUGUGAAAGUCCAUCGCUUAACGGUGGAUCCGCGCCGGGUACGGGCGGGCUUGAGUGCGGUAGGGGAGACUGGAAUUCCCGGUGUAACGGUGGAAUGUGUAGAUAUCGGGAAGAACACCAAUGGCGAAGGCAGGUCUCUGGGCCGUCACUGACGCUGAGGAGCGAAAGCGUGGGGAGCGAACAGGAUUAGAUACCCUGGUAGUCCACGCCGUAAAC
rnacentral:rRNA from 1 species